rnacentral:rRNA from 1 species
AUUGAACGCUGGCGGCAGGCCUAACACAUGCAAGUCGAGCGAGCGGCGGACGGGUGAGUAAUGUCUGGGAAACUGCCUGAUGGAGGGGGAUAACUACUGGAAACGGUAGCUAAUACCGCAUACCAUCAGAUGUGCCCAGAUGGGAUUAGCUAGUAGGUGGGGUAACGGCUCACCUAGGCGACGAUCCCUAGCUGGUCUGAGAGGUGGACCAGCCACACUGGAACUGGGACACGGUCCAGACUCCGACGGGAGGCGUCGGGGGGGAAGAUUGCACAAUGGGGGCAGGCCUGAUGCAGCCAUGCCUCGUGUUUGAAGAAGGCCUUCGGGUUGUAAAGCACUUUCAGCGGGGAGGCGUUACCCGCAGAAGAAGCACCGGCUAACUCCGUGCCAGCAGCCGCGGUAAUUC